rnacentral:tRNA from 1 species
UUAUUUUUGCCUGUGUAGAUUAUAUUAAAUCGUGAUGCUGUUAACUUCAGGAA